GGACAAGUCCCUUGCCUGUGACAGCGUGAGCUCAGUGUGAAUUUAUUCACGUUAAGGAGCGGUGGUUGGAGGAGAGUGGCAGAGCUUUUUCAGAACCGUUUCCAUAACAAGGCUCCCUCUUAGCUAAAAACGCUAAGCUGAGAUCCAAGUCGCUGUGAGAAAGGAAUUGACGAGAGAAAAGAUUCUAUUUUCCUCUUACAUCUCGCUCAUAUAUGUGAAUUAUAAAACCAAAUGAGGUCCAGAAGAGAUGUCAUUCAAAUUCCCUCCACUUAUCCACCACGACGCCACAGCACAAGCAGAGCGUCUUACAAGCA